rnacentral:rRNA from 1 species
CCUACGGGUGGCUGCAGUGGGGAAUAUUGGACAAUGGGGGCAACCCUGAUCCAGCCAUGCCGCGUGUGUGAAGAAGGCCCUCGGGUUGUAAAGCACUUUCAGUGAGGAAGAACGCCUGGUGGUUAAUACCCAUCAGGAAAGACAUCACUCACAGAAGAAGCACCGGCUAACUCCGUGCCAGCAGCCGCGGUAAUACGGAGGGUGCGAGCGUUAAUCGGAAUUACUGGGCGUAAAGCGCGCGUAGGUGGCUUGAUAAGCCGGUUGUGAAAGCCCCGGGCUCAACCUGGGAACGGCAUCCGGAACUGUCAAGCUAGAGUGCAGGAGAGGAAGGUAGAAUUCCCGGUGUAGCGGUGAAAUGCGUAGAGAUCGGGAGGAAUACCAGUGGCAAAGGCGGCCUUCUGGACUGACACUGACACUGAGGUGCGAAAGCGUGGGUAGCAAACAGGAUUAGAUACCCUUGUAGUC